AACGAACGCUGGCGGCAUGCCUAACACAUGCAAGUCGAACGAGACCUUCGGGUCUAGUGGCGCACGGGUGCGUAACGCGUGGGAACCUGCCCUUAGGUUCGGAAUAACUCCCCGAAAGGGGUGCUAAUACCGGAUAAUGUCUUCGUACCAAAGAUUUAUCGCCUUUGGAUGGGCCCGCGUUGGAUUAGCUAGUUGGUAGGGUAAAAGCCUACCAAGGCGACGAUCCAUAGCUGGUCUGAGAGGAUGAUCAGCCACACUGGGACUGAGACACGGCCCAGACUCCUGCGGGGGGGGGCAGGGGGGAAUAUUGGACAAGGGGGGAAAGCCUAAUCCAGCAAGGCCGGGUGAGUGAUGAGGGCCUUGGGUUUUUAAAGCUUUUUUCCCCGGGAUGAUAUUGACGGAACCGGGGGAAAAAGCCCCGCCAAACCCGGG
rnacentral:rRNA from 1 species